rnacentral:lncRNA from 1 species
CAAGUCACAAAUAGGUCACACAAAGUAAUCCUAAAGUCGCAAUAUACACCGUUCUAGAUUUUCAGGGUUUCGUAAGAUUCACGAUCUUAGAUCAAGGGAAUGUUCGAACGGGUCAAGUCCAGGUGUUCUAAUUGGAUAAUUAAUGCAAACACGAAGGUAUAUAAACAAAAAUUUCAAAUUUUCACGCAACAAGUCUCACAC